rnacentral:rRNA from 1 species
UACGGGGGGGGCAAGCGUUGUUCGGAAUUACUGGGCGUAAAGGGCUCGUAGGCGGCCAACUAAGUCAGACGUGAAAUCCCACGGCUCAACCGUGGAACUGCUGGGUAUACUGGGCGUCUUGGGCCAACUAGGGGCAACUGGAACAAGCGGUGGAGCGGUGAAAUGCGUAGAUAUCGCGUGGAACGCCAACGGUGAAAACAGGUUGCUGGGGUUGUGCCGACGCUGAGACACGAAAGCCAGGGGAGCGAACGGG